UGUGGGGUAGAGCAGUUUGGGAGCUCGCUAGGCUCAUAACCUAGAGGCGGGUUCACCCGUUUACGGAGGUUCAAAUCCUCCCCCCGCAACCA
rnacentral:tRNA from 1 species